AGGUUGUUGUCAAGAUGGAGUGCCUAACCCAGUAAUCCAUGGACCAGGCCCUGAGUCCACAAAGGUACCAUUGCCUCUGCAGCCUAUUCUUCACCAUCAACCCACCCCUACGGUCUCCUCCCUUAUGGCUGCAGGUGGACUUUCCUACCCUGUGAUCCAGGGUGUGGCAAGGUUCACCAAUCAGGCAAUUGUUCCUUCCAAGAGACCAUCUUUUCCCCAGCGACUGCUGAGGAAAAUGGGCUUAACCUGGGAUCACCAAAGUCCACCAACAAAUCUAGGUGUGGUGGUGACACCUGUUUUCCCA
rnacentral:lncRNA from 1 species